GACGAACGCUGGCGGCGUGCCUAAUACAUGCAAGUCGAGCGCAGGAAAUCGACGGAACCCUCCGGGGGGAAGUCGAUGGAAUGAGCGGCGGACGGGUGAGUAACACGUAAAGAACCUGCCCUCAGGUCUGGGAUAACCACGAGAAAUCGGGGCUAACACCGGAUGGGUCAUCGGACCGCAUGGUCCGAGGAUGAAAGGCGCUUCGGCGUCGCCUGGGGAUGGCUUUGCGGUGCAUUAGCUAGUUGGUGGGGUAAUGGCCCACCAAGGCGACGAUGCAUAGCCGACCUGAGAGGGUGAUCGGCCACACUGGGACUGAGACACGGCCCAGACUCCUACGGGAGGCAGCAGUAGGGAAUCUUCCACAAUGGACGAAAGUCUGAUGGAGCAACGCCGCGUGAACGAUGAAGGCCUUCGGGUCGUAAAGUUCUGUUGUAAGGGAAGAACAAGUGCCGCAGGCAAUGGCGGCACCUUGACGGUACCUUGCGAGAAAGCCACGGCUAACUUCGUGCCAGCAGCCGCCGUAAUAC
rnacentral:rRNA from 1 species